rnacentral:rRNA from 1 species
ACGAACGCUGGCGGCGUGCUUAACACAUGCAAGUCGAACGAUGAAAGCGGGAGCUUGCUCCUGCUGGAUUAGUGGCGAACGGGUGAGUAACACGUGAGCAAUCUGCCCCGAACUCUGGGAUAACGUAGCGAAAGUUACGCUAAUACCGCAUAUUCUGUGAGCAGGAAAGCAGGGGAUCGCAAGACCUUGCGCUGAUUGAGCGGCCGAUAUCAGAUUAGCUAGUUGGUGAGGUAAAGGCUCACCAAGGCGACGAUCUGUAGCGGGUCUGAGAGGAUGAUCCGCCACACUGGAACUGAGACACGGUCCAGACUCCUACGGGAGGCAGCAGUGGGAAUUUGGACAAUGGGGCAACCCUGAUCCAGCCAUGCCGCGUGAGUGAAGAAGGCCUUCGGGUUGUAAAGCUCUUUCGGCCGGGAAGAAAUCGUAUGGGCUAAUACCCUGUGCGGAUGACGGUACCGGCAUAAGAAGCACCGGCUAACUACGUG